rnacentral:rRNA from 1 species
GUGGGUUGUAGCGGUCAGCCUUUCGGUUAGUACUGCUACGGCCUACCUUUCUGCCGGGGACGAGCUCCUGGGCUUUAUUGUCUGGGACUCGGAAUCGGCGAGGUUACUUUGAGUAAAUUAGAGUGUUCAAAGCAAGCCUACGCUCUGAAUACAUUAGCAUGGAAUAACACGAUAGGACUCUGGCUUAUCUUGUUGGUCUGUAAGACCGGAGUAAUGAUUAAGAGGGACAGUCGGGGGCAUUCGUAUUUCAUUGUCAGAGGUGAAAUUCUUGGAUUUAUGAAAGACGAACUUCUGCGAAAGCAUUUGCCAAGGAUGUUUUCAUUAAUCAAGAACGAAAGUUGGGGGCUCGAAGACGAUUAGAUACCGUCGUAGUCUCAACCAUAAACGAUGCCG